rnacentral:rRNA from 1 species
GACGAACGCUGGCGGUGUGCUUAACACAUGCAAGUCGAACGGUAAGGCCCUUUCGGGGGUACACGAGUGGCGAACGGGUGAGUAACACGUGAGUAACCUGCCCUCAUCUCUGGGAUAACAGUCGGAAACGGUUGCUAAUACUGGAUAUGAGCUUGCAAGGCAUCUUGUGGGUUGGAAAGAUUUUUUUUGGUUGGGGAUGGACUCGCGGCCUAUCAGCUUGUUGGUGAGGUAGUGGCUCACCAAGGCUUCGACGGGUAGCCGGCCUGAGAGGGCGACCGGCCACAUUGGGACUGAGAUACGGCCCAAACUCCUACGGGAGGCAGCAGUGGGGAAUAUUGCACAAUGGACGGAAGUCUGAUGCAGCAACGCCGCGUGCGGGAUGACGGCCUUCGGGGUGUAAACCGCUUUCAAUUGUGACGAAGCUUUUUUGUGACGGUAGCAGUAGAAGAAGCACCGGCUAACUACGUG